CCUACGGGAGGCAGCAGUGAGGAAUAUUGGUCAAUGGGCGCGAGCCUGAACCAGCCAAGUAGCGUGAAGGAUGACGGCCCUACGGGUUGUAAACUUCUUUUAUAAAGGAAUAAAGUGAGGCACGUGUGCCGUUUUGUAUGUACGUUAUGAAUAAGGAUCGGCUAACUCCGUGCCAGCAGCCGCGGUAAUACGGAGGUUCCGAGCGUUCUCCGGAUUUCUUGGGUUUAAAGGGAGCGUAGAGGGGUUGUUAAGUCAGUUGUGAAAGUUUGCGGCUCAACCGUAAAAUUGCAAUUGAUACUGGCAGUCUUGAGUACAGUUGAGGUCGGCGGAAUUCGUUGUGUAGCGG
rnacentral:rRNA from 1 species